GCCUCUCCCUCUUCCUCUGCUCCCGCGGGGUCUGUGCUGAGAAUAAUGGCCCGGUUGGCCCGGGACGAGUGGAAUGUUUGUACCCUGGAAAAAUAAGGUGAUAAAUACAGGCAAUCAUUGCGAAGUAAAGAAGUCAUCUAUUGUCAGUUAAUAUAUAACGAGAGAAUUUAGCCUAACCAGAGGCCCAUGGAAGCCAAAAUCUUUCUAUUCU
rnacentral:lncRNA from 1 species